rnacentral:rRNA from 1 species
ACGAACGCUGGCGGCGUGCCUAACACAUGCAAGUCGAACGGAACUUCUUUAAAGGAUUUCUUCGGAAUGAAUUUGAUUAAGUUUAGUGGCGGACGGGUGAGUAACGCGUGAGUAACCUGCCUCUAAGAGGGGAAUAACAUUCUGAAAAGAAUGCUAAUACCGCAUAAUAUAUAUUUAUCGCAUGGUAGAUAUAUCAAAGAUUUAUCGCUUAGAGAUGGACUCGCGUCCGAUUAGUUAGUUGGUGAGGUAACGGCUCACCAAGACCGCGAUCGGUAGCCGGACUGAGAGGUUGAACGGCCACAUUGGGACUGAGACACGGCCCAGACUCCUACGGGAGGCAGCAGUGGGGGAUAUUGCGCAAUGGGGGAAACCCUGACGCAGCAACGCCGCGUGAAGGAUGAAGGUCUUCGGAUUGUAAACUUCUUUUAUUAAGGACGAAGAAAGUGACGGUACUUAAUGAAUAAGCUCCGGCUAACUACGUGCCAGCAGCCGCGGUAAUACGUAGGGAGCAAGCGUUGUCCGGAUUUACUGGGUGUAAAGGGUGCGUAGGCGGCUUUGCAAGUCAGAUGUGAAAUCUAUGGGCUCAACCCAUAGCCUGCAUUUGAAACUGCAGAGCUUGAGUGAAGUAGAGGCAGGCGGAAUUCCCCGUGUAGCGGUGAAAUGCGUAGAGAUGGGGAGGAACACCAGUGGCGAAGGCGGCCUGCUGGGCUUUAACUGACGCUGAGGCACGAAAGCGUGGGUAGCAAACAGGAUUAGAUACCCUGGUAGUCCACACAGUAAACGAUGAAUACUCGCUGUUUGCGAUAUACAGUAAGCGGCCAAGCGAAAGCGUUAAGUAUUCCACCUGGGGAGUACGCCGGCAACGGUGAAACUCAAAGGAAUUGACGGGGGCCCGCACAAGCAGUGGAGUAUGUGGUUUAAUUCGAAGCAACGCGAAGAACCUUACCAGGUCUUGACAUCCUACUAACGAGAUAGAGAUAUGUUAGGUGCCCUUCGGGGAAAGUAGAGACAGGUGGUGCAUGGUUGUCGUCAGCUCGUGUCGUGAGAUGUUGGGUUAAGUCCCGCAACGAGCGCAACCCUUGCUAUUAGUUGCUACGCAAGAGCACUCUAAUAGGACUGCCGUUGACAAAACGGAGGAAGGUGGGGACGACGUCAAAUCAUCAUGCCCCUUAUGACCUGGGCUACACACGUACUACAAUGGAUAUUAACAGAGGGAAGCAAUACAGUGAUGUGGAGCAAACCCCUAAAAAUGUUCUCAGUUCAGAUUGCAGGCUGCAACCCGCCUGUAUGAAGAUGGAAUUGCUAGUAAUCGCAGAUCAGCAUGCUGCGGUGAAUACGUUCCCGGGCCUUGUACACACCGCCCGUCACACCAUGGGAGCCGGUAAUACCCGAAGUCAGUAGUCUAACCGCAAGGAGGACGCUGCCGAAGGUAGGAUUGGCGACUGGGGUG